AACGUGGAGACAGGUGGUGCAUGGCUGUCGUCAGCUCGUGUCGUGAGAUGUUGGGUUAAGUCCCGCAACGAGCGCAACCCUCACCCCUUGUUGCCAUCAGGUCAUGCUGGGCACUCUAGGGGAACUGCCCCGGUCAACGGGGAGGAAGGCGGGGAUGACGUCAAGUCAUCAUGCCCCUUACGCCCUGGGCUACACACGUGCUACAAUGGCCGGUACAAAGGGAUGCAACGCCGUGAGGCAGAGCCAAACCCAAAAAGCCGGUCUAAGUUCAGAUUGGAGUCUGCAACUCGACUCCAUGAAGGAGGAAUCGCUAGUAAUCGCGUAUCAGCACGACGCGGUGAAUACGUUCCCGGGCCUUGUACACACCGCCCGUCACACCACGAAAGCCUGCUGUACUCGAAGUCGCUGAG
rnacentral:rRNA from 1 species